UUAGAUGAACUGACGCAUGAUUGGAGAAGGGACUAGACUGUCUAGUGAUUUGAAACUAGUCAUAUGAGGACCAGCUGGAGCAAUGGGGAAUAUUUACCCGCUGGGGGCUUGAUCACGGCUUUCUCAUUCAAAGGGCUAAGACAGAGAAGAGGUCAGAUCGGUUCUAUACCACCCCCGCAAAAAACUAGAACCAGUGGACGUGCGUGCAGGGAGCGAGGAGAGGAGGCAACAGGGAGGCAGAUUUACUCUCAAACUGAGGCAGACUUUUGAACAUCAUAACCGUUUCAAGAUGCAACAGUCAUGUCAGGGAGUGGCGAGCUCCCUCGCACAGAGGUGGGGGCCGUGUUUAGGCUGAGCCUGGGCAGCAGCUUCACCACAAAUGUUUACAGAAAAUCCAAGUGUUACGUGGGCAGCUGAACUGGAUGCCCUCUGCGGUUUCUCCCAGCCCUCUAGGGCCGGGCUCUGUGCCCACAAAUGGGAUGCCAGGGUGAAGGAGAAGGAAGAGCUAAAAAUGACUCCUCCACUGCUGGCCUGGAAGCCUGGAAGAUGCUGCUGCUGGUGUAAGCGAAGAACUUAGGAUGAAAUUGAUUGGUGGGAAUGGCAGGAGAAGAUUUUUUUGUGAUACAGUGUCAGAAAAGCAAGGAGUUUGGGUCAGACCAGUUACGUCUUUGAAGCUUUCCACGUGUCUGUGUCUUCCUUGGAGCACCUCCCAGUGUUGUCAGGAGGAUUUAGAGAAAACAGCCUGCCCAGUGCUUUUGCUUGACUAGCAGAGACAGCUGGAUAAAGGUUUUAUGGGAGGCGAUGUCGGCAUUCGUAGGGCCUGUGCCUUUUCUGUGACUCAGUGAUGGGCCAGUGGAAACGGCCGUUUCCACAGUUGGACAGAACGAGGUUUGUGUCCUGGUGUUGCUCACAGACGUCUCAACCAGACGGAGUCCGGACUCCACCACGUGGCAAUAACGAGAAGGUAGCUCUCGGGGCGGUGGUGGGUUGAGAUUAGAUACAUGAAGAGGCUGUCCCAAUGUGAGCUGGGUUAUAAACCCAAGAGAGGGGGCAUGGGAGCCGAGGAGGGGACCGCAUCAGAGGCCACCAGGCUGAGUAGGGCGGGCUUUUCACAGGGGCCUGGGUCACGGCUGUGAUAAGCCCCCCGUUGUGGAAUGCAGAAGGCCAUGGUCUCUCAGUGAGUCGGGCAGGGCCAUGGUGCGUGCCCAGGUCUACUUGACUCCAAGUCUUGUGUUCUUUCCCCUGUGGGACCUUCAGGGGUUUUGCAAAUAGAGGUCCCACUCUCCAAGGGCUUCCUGUUGCACUGGGCAGAAGGGAGGGUAGAACCUGCCCAGCUGCGUCCUCUACUCUGAGCCUUUCUCUGCCAUUUCUUCACCAGAUGGCAGCUUCCUGCCUGGGAAUGGAGAACUCGAGUGGCCACCCAGCAUGACAGGCAGCCUCCCCACCCACUUAACCUCAUGGGAGGUCCUGUGAACCCUCCACCUCCAUCUCACGGGGCCUGAAGCCCACAGGGGGAUCCUUAAGCAGUUGGAGUGGGUCCUGGGGCCAGCCCAGGGCUGGCACGGGGUUCGCAUUUCACUUCUGGGCCAUGGCAAGCUCUGGUUCAGAGCCUUAGCUCGGCAGCAGCCCCUCUGCACCAAGUCACUUGGCCCCUGCCACAGCAUCACAGCCUGGAGCCCAACAGGAUGAGCCCAGCUCAUGCUUCUGAAGCACGGCUAUUCUGACAGCCCUGGUCUUGGUGCUCAUCACUUGCUUCUCACUGUGCUUUACAGGCAGAAUGGGGACAAGAGCUUUAAGUUCUAUCAUUGUGAUUCUUUUUUUUCUGCUGCAGUCCCUUAUAUGUAGCCUCCGACCAAAUACAACUUUUGCCUUUGUGCUAUUGCUGGAAUGCAAAGCUUCUACUUCAGAUGAGCGCUGAGAGCCAACAAGGUUGAAAUGGAAAAGGAUUUCCUCAAUGUCUUUAGCUCCCGGGUCAGGUAGACAAGCUCGGAGGUCUUCAAACUGGGGGUACACAGGUUUCUGGGUGCACAAAGUCUUUCUAGGAGGGAAGAAAAAUAGGUUUUGCUACUUUAUUGACUAGUGAAAAGCAGCAUGGUGGGGUGUGGCUCGCUUCUUCAGUGCUGCCUCUGCUCAAACCUCUAUGGGUGCAUACAGAUGGGCAGGCUGUGGAGCUCCGACCCCACAGCACCGUCUAGGGGUGAAUGUUCACAGCUCCUGAAGCCCCAGUGGGCGUGUGUACCAUGUGCUCUUUCAGUUUAGCCGCCCAUAGAUGGUUUGUAUUAGUCACAGCUCAAUUAGACCCCUGCCUUAUCACAAGAACAAAGGGCUUUCUGUGUCCUGUGGUCCUUGCUUUGGUGUAGCGGAAGAAUUGGAUCACACAUGGUCUUGGUGAAUGAGUGCAAGGUUUUAUUGAGUAGAAGUAGCUCUCAGAUGGGGGAGCCAGAAGGGAGAUGGUUUUCUCCUGGAGUCGGGCCACUCGGUGGCCCGAGAUCUCCUCCAACUGCCCCAGCCAAACGCUACGUCAUUCUACCAGUCGAUGGCCUGCCAGCAUGCCUGUCGGUGUGUUCCUCUCCACAUCCAGCCUCCUGUGUGUCUUCUGGCUACAGUCUUGGGGUUUUUUCCAGGCACAAGAUAGGGGUGUGGCAGGCCAGGGUGGUCUUGGGAAAUGCAACAUUUGGGCAGGAAAACAAAAAUGCCUGUCCUUACCUAGGUCCGUGGGCACAGGCUGGGGGUGGAGUCCUAGCCAGGGACCAUGAACUCCUCUACCCAGCACUUCCUUUCCCCUCUUCUGUAUCAUUUAAAGGGACCACACUCUUCCCUUCCCAGCACUUCCCUUCCAUAUCACUAAUAUAUGGAAUUAAAAAAAAAUUUUUUUUGAGGCGGGGUCUCACUCUGUCACAGAGGUUGGAGUGCAGUGGCAUGAUCUCGGCUCACUGCAACCUCUGCCUUCCAGGUUCAAGCGAUUCUCAUGCCUCAG
rnacentral:lncRNA from 1 species